rnacentral:sRNA from 1 species
AGGUGCCGUCGUUAGCUGAGGCUCCUUCACGGAUACAGGCCGGCGAUCCCGAACGUCGAGAGACGCCCCGGAUCAGGACAGGUUGCCCCGAGUUAAGGGGUUGCCCCGACCGGCUCCCACCCGAGGGUGGGUUUACGCCGUGGAGUGCUGAAGGUCUUACGAAGGGUGGUAUCC